rnacentral:misc_RNA from 1 species
AUUUCUGUGUAUUUUGUCGAUAUGUUUCCCACCCAUUCAAUAUUACUGACUAACUUGCUCUCAAUACAUUUUUCUUGAAUGCGUCACCAUGUUGAAAGAACGGUAAAACAUUAUUAUCAACAAUUAUAAAAUAAACUUUUAAAUACCCGUAGUGUUCUAUUACAAUCAAUUUUUCAUGAGUAAUAAUAUAAACACAAAAAAAAUAUUACUGUAAACCGUAAACGACACUACAAGAUCAGCUGUGCAAUGACUACGAUUGAAGAUGCAAAUUCCUUUGCCGAAGGGCAUGUGGAAAUUAGGAAAGUUUUAGGAAAAAUGCUCCAUCUAGCGGAGAAAGAGUUAAACAGGAACAAAUAUUAGAAAGAGUUCGCUUCAGAUCGGUCAAGAUACAACCUCACUUCAUUUGUCUGAACCACCACUGGAAGGAGGAGGCCUUUAAUGUCAAAAGUUGUCCUUUACAAAUCGAACGUUGCGAUCGAGAAGUUAGAAUUUUGUAUCUAACGUCACUCUUGAUGAAAACAUUCAAGAUAAAGAAUAUGAACUAAACCACUGAGUUUACUCCAUGACUAGACUAAACUACUUUCCAUAAAUUUUCACCAUUUAUUUAAAGGAAGAAAGAGAGAAGCAAAGACGAUCGGGUCCGAGUUAUUUCUAUACGAUGGCGUUACAUGAUGAAUCCUAACUUUUCGAUUGAAGCGCCAUAUUGCAAAUAAAUUGACCAACAUCUUUCAAUUACUGAGAUCUUUACCCUCAUCACGGGAGUUUCCAGAUCUGUAUAUACCGUGAGCACAUCGUAUUCGAGAAGUUAAUCGAAAGACAGAAUAUAUAUGUAAAAAGUAACGCGAUCUUGUGCAUGGAGAUACACAUAAGGAACUCAAUUAUGGUUUGACAUGUACAGCGUCAAUUUUGAAGUGCUGUAGAAAGAUAUUUUUAAUUUUCGUA